rnacentral:rRNA from 1 species
CAGUCGCCACGGUAAUACGAAGGGGGCUAGCGUUGUUCGGAAUUACUGGGCGUAAAGCGCACGUAGGCGGAUAUUUAAGUCAGGGGUGAAAUCCCGCAGCUCAACUGCGGAACUGCCUUUGAUACUGGGUAUCUUGAGUAUGGAAGAGGUUAGUGGAAUUGCGAGUGUAGAGGUGAAAUUCGUAGAUAUUCGCGGGAACACCAGUGGCGAAGGCGGCUAACUGGUCCAUAACUGACGCUGAGGUGCGAAAGCGUGGGGAGCAAACAGGAUUAGAUACCCCCGUAGUCCCUGUCUCUUAUAC